AAGACAAAUAACUACAGACCUCUGCAACUGCUGAUACCGGUUCAGGAUGAAUUGCAGAUGCUGUGAGAGAGUCAGUGGUUCAACCAGCCAACAAACAGGAAAAGCUCAAGUCGGAGUCUUAACUGUCAGCAACUCUACCCAAAAAAAUCAGGCUACUGGUAUUGCCCACUAAGAAAAACAGUGGUCUGGUAUGAAGGUUAUCUGUGUUUUGGAACAUGUUCUUAAUAUUCAUUAAAUAAUAAAAAAAAGUUUGACACUUUA